rnacentral:lncRNA from 1 species
GCUCUUCAACUUUGUACUUGUUUGGCUUUAUAAAUAUUGUGAUCUGACCUUCACUGAUGAGUCUUAUGUAGACGAAACGCGCGUCUGGCGUACUAAAUUAUAAUCCUGGUACCUUUGAUAAUUAUAGAACGACAAAAAACUUUUGUAUCAACAUUAUCAUUAUAUAUUUUUUUUCGUUCUUAACUAGUCGGUCGACAUCUUUAUGAGUUAAUAAUUUGAAUUUGGAUGUAACUGUGUCUUCUGAUUGGCUGACAGUGUUUUAUGUAUUAUCUCAUAGACAUAAUUUUGUCAUGUGACCGUGACGUCAUCAACGUUUUAUCAUGAUUUACGCCUGUUUAAAAUAGAACUUACAAUUAAAUUAUAAGAAAUGUCGGUCUACUAGUAUUCAAACUUACAUCAAAGAUUUGGUGCAGACUUGAUAAUAGUUAUUCAGAGUGCACCACAUUUUUUUAUGUUAUUUCUUCAUAGACAGAAACAAAUAUUACAGUCAUUCCGUAAUUAUUAUCACUUUAGUUCAAUUUUGCCUAGUAUUGUUUUGUGAAAAAUACUUAGAUAGAGAGAAACUUUAAAUAGCA